rnacentral:misc_RNA from 1 species
AUUAAAAAAAAAAAAAAGCCAACCAGAGCUUAGUCUUGUUUUGGUGAGAUAUGAACGAUAGACCCACAAAAUUGUGGCCCAUAGAGCCCACAAGCUUAGGCCACACGUCUAAGCCUAGUUUUCAUUGGCACCAUUUAUGCUGAUCAAGAUUGAGAAGGGAAAAGUAUGCUAAGGUCCUAGGAAAACGAUAAACUAACGCAAAACUGAACCUGUACAAAGUUUUCUCCAGGCUCCCUGAUUUACAUGAGACAGAAUGGGGAAGUCCCCAAUUCUUGUUUUUCCAAAAGCUUUCCAACACAUCAUCAGCUGGACUCCUGGACCAAAACUGAUUGCACUAAAGUAAAAUAUUUACAUCCACCUCCAAGCCUCCCUCAAUUCAUCCAAAAUGCUGUUGCAUAGACGGGCACUUCAUGUUGGUUACGUUGGAAAAAUAUCCCAAUGGAAAGCAAAAAUUUUUAAAAUGCUACCCGAAAUUCCCGGCUUCUAAUUGGCUUCCCUAGGGUGGUGCUCAAGGUUCCGAAGCACAAUUUUUGCAAAAACUUUGGCUUCAAAGGGGGCUGAUGCUGCCGCAGCAACAGCUCGCAAUGCCCUUGGUGCUCCUGCAUUUUGCAACAGGCUCAUGUGAUGAGUUGCAUGUCGUCCUCCGGGCAUGGUAAACUGGAGAAGAGCAAAAGCAGAACAGGCCUUGAGUAUGGAAGACUGAUUACGUAACAUGGCAACAAAUCUUCCAAUUUCUGCUGCACUGCAUCUCAGAAGCCCAGCUUCUGGUAUGCGUGCCACUUCUGCUACUUGUGUAAGAGCUGUUGGGGCUGAUGAUGUGAUCACAGUGGCAAACGUUUGAGAAUCAGAAAAUGAACACACAAAUGUUUCAAUAUGCUUCAGGGACAUCUUUUUAACCACAUGUAAUGUCACACUCUUUAUAUCACCAUCUGAUGAAGGCCCCACUGCAGCAAUUUCAUCCAUUCUUCCAUCGAAGAUAUAUGCCAAUGCCAAUGCAGCCAUAAACCGUGCCAUUUUUGAAAGUGAUUUAGUACAAAUAUAAACAAGGGCUGGAACUCCUCCAUCCUCCACUAUGCGAAGUGCAUUACCCGGAUUAAAAGCCAGAUUCCAAAGAGCACCUGCUGCAGUCUCAUGGACAUCCGCAACAGUUGAGCGUGCUAAUGCAAUAAGUGGAGCUACACCGCCAACUUGUCCAAUAGCAACACUAUUAGCUUCUGACACUGACAAUCCCCAUAAAGCACCUGCAGCCCUUUCUUGAAGACCUUGAGAGGAAUUUGAGCAAGAUUGUGCAAGAGAAACCAAGGCCAUGAUACCACCAGCUGCUGCUAUUGCUUCUCGAUUUUUGUCAUCAAAUGAUAAAUUCCAUAAAGCACCAGCAGCCUCAUGCCUUACACCUUCAUGUUGAGAAUGAAUGAGUUGGACCAGUGCCUCGAGUGCACCUGCUUCUUUCCCAACAGCAGCAUUAUUGGUAUUGCUAUCCCCAUGAGCAGCCAAGUUUCCCAACGCACGAGCAGCCUGCUCUUGCACU